rnacentral:tRNA from 1 species
GCCGGAGUAGCUCAAUGGCAGAGCAACAUCCCUGUAAGAUGAAGGUUGUCGGUUCAAAUCCGACCUCCGGCU